rnacentral:rRNA from 8 species
CAUGACUGGGGUGAAGUCGUAACAAGGUAGCCGUAGGGGAACCUGCGGCUGGAUCACCUCCUUAAUCGACGACA